rnacentral:rRNA from 1 species
GGGAUUGCCCUAGUAACGGCGAGUGAAGCGGCAACAGCUCAAAUUUGAAAUCUGGCCCUCGUGGUCCGAGUUGUAAUUUGUAGAGGAUGCUUUUGGUGAGGUGCCUUCCGAGUUCCCUGGAACGGGACGCCAUAGAGGGUGAGAGCCCCGUCUGGUUGGACACCGAGCCUCUGUAAAGCUCCUUCGACGAGUCGAGUAGUUUGGGAAUGCUGCUCUAAAUGGGAGGUAUAUGUCUUCUAAAGCUAAAUACCGGCCAGAGACCGAUAGCGCACAAGUAGAGUGAUCGAAAGAUGAAAAGCACUUUGAAAAGAGGGUUAAAUAGUACGUGAAAUUGUUGAAAGGGAAGCGCUUGUGACCAGACUUGAGCCCGGUUAAUCAUCCAGCCUUCUGGCUGGUGCACUUGGCCGGCUCAGGCCAGCAUCAGUUCGGCGCGGGGGAUAAAGGCUUCGGGAAUGUGGCUCCUCCGGGAGUGUUAUAGCCCGUUGUGUAAUACCCUGUGCUGGACUGAGGUUCGCGCAUCUGCAAGGAUGCUGGCGUAAUGGUCAUCAGCGACCCGUCUUGAAACACGGACCAAGGAGUCGUCUUCGUAUGCGAGUGUUCGGGUGUCAAACCCCUACGCGUAAUGAAAGUGAACGCAGGUGAGAGCUUCGGCGCAUCAUCGACCGAUCCUGAUGUUCUCGGAUGGAUUUGAGUAAGAGCAUACGGGGCCGGACCCGAAAGAAGGUGAACUAUGCCUGUAUAGGGUGAAGCCAGAGGAAACUCUGGUGGAGGCUCGCAGCGGUUCUGACGUGCAAAUCGAUCGUCAAAUAUGGGCAUGGGGGCGAAAGACUAAUCGAACCUUCUAGUAGCUGGUUUCCGCG